CUCUGGCCCUGCACCUGUCCCUCUCCCUCGCUGGCCCCGUGCGCUGCCGUCACCGUCGUGGCCAAAAAUAACUUUUUGGCCAGCUUUUCCUUUUCCUAAAUUAGUCAUGGGGCAGGUGGAAAUGUCACCCCCACCACCAUCCCCUCGGGAGCCCGGCGAGCCGCAGAGUCAAGCUGUUCAGAGAAAGGAAUGUGGAGUGAAUCUUCCCAGAAUGUCUCUUUACAAGGAAUUUUUUGAACAGUUUGUUUUUUGUAAAUAGACACAAAUUCCUAAACUAUUAUCUCUCCAGAGAGCCUCCUCCUCCCCAGUUAACUCACAUAAAAUAAGGCUUUUUAAGGCCUGAGGAAGGAGGUUUGUGGCUUCAAAACUCCUUUGUCUCAGCCCAGCUGUGUCCGUUGAGCUAAAA